rnacentral:rRNA from 1 species
CAGGUGUAGCGGUGAAAUGCGUAGAGAUCUGGAGGAAUACCGGUGGCGAAGGCGGCCCCCUGGACGAAGACUGACGCUCAGGUGCGAAAGCGUGGGGAGCAAACAGGAUUAGAUACCCUGGUAGUCCACGCCGUAAACGAUGUCGACUUGGAGGUUGUGCCCUUGAGGCGUGGCUUCCGGAGCUAACGCGUUAAGUCGACCGCCUGGGGAGUACGGCCGCAAGGUUAAAACUCAAAUGAAUUGACGGGGGCCCGCACAAGCGGUGGAGCAUGUGGUUUAAUUCGAUGCAACGCGAAGAACCUUACCUGGUCUUGACAUCCACAGA